rnacentral:rRNA from 1 species
CUGCCCAGAAGCGGGGGAUAACACCUGGAAACAGAUGCUAAUACCGCAUAACAACUUGGACCGCAUGGUCCGAGCUUGAAAGAUGGCUUCGGCUAUCACUUUUGGAUGGUCCCGCGGCGUAUUAGCUAGAUGGUGGGGUAACGGCUCACCAUGGCAAUGAUACGUAGCCGACCUGAGAGGGUAAUCGGCCACAUUGGGACUGAGACACGGCCCAAACUCCUACGGGAGGCAGCAGUAGGGAAUCUUCCACAAUGGACGAAAGUCUGAUGGAGCAACGCCGCGUGAGUGAAGAAGGGUUUCGGCUCGUAAAACUCUGUUGUUAAAGAAGAACAUAUCUGAGAGUAACUGUUCAGGUAUUGACGGUAUUUAACCAGAAAGCCACGGCUAACUACGUGCCAGCAGCCGCGGUAAUACGUAGGUGGCAAGCGUUGUCCGGAUUUAUUGGGCGUAAAGCGAGCGCAGGCGGUUUUUUAAGUCUGAUGUGAAAGCCUUCGGCUCAACCGAAGAAGUGCAUCGGAAACUGGGAAACUUGAGUGCAGAAGAGGACAGUGGAAACUCCCAUGUGUAGCGGUGAAAUGCGUAGAUAUAUGGAAGAACACCAGUGGCGAAGGCGGCUGUCUGGUCUGUAACUGACGCUGAGGCUCGAAAGUAUGGGUAGCAAACAGGAUUAGAUACCCUGGUAGUCCAUACCGUAAACGAUGAAUGCUAAGUGUUGGAGGGUUUCCGCCCUUCAGUGCUGCAGCUAACGCAUUAAGCAUUCCGCCUGGGGAGUACGGCCGCAAGGCUGAAACUCAAAGGAAUUGACGGGGGCCCGCACAAGCGGUGGAGCAUGUGGUUUAAUUCGAAGCUACGCGAAGAACCUUACCAGGUCUUGACAUACUAUGCAAAUCUAAGAGAUUAGACGUUCCCUUCGGGGACAUGGAUACAGGUGGUGCAUGGUUGUCGUCAGCUCGUGUCGUGAGAUGUUGGGUUAAGUCCCGCAACGAGCGCAACCCUUAUUAUCAGUUGCCAGCAUUAAGUUGGGCACUCUGGUGAGACUGCCGGUGACAAACCGGAGGAAGGUGGGGAUGACGUCAAAUCAUCAUGCCCCUUAUGACCUGGGCUACACACGUGCUACAAUGGAUGGUACAACGAGUUGCGAACUCGCGAGAGUAAGCUAAUCUCUUAAAGCCAUUCUCAGUUCGGAUUGUAGGCUGCAACUCGCCUACAUGAAGUCGGAAUCGCUAGUAAUCGCGGAUCAGCAUGCCGCGGUGAAUACGUUCCCGU